rnacentral:lncRNA from 1 species
CCUUGACCAUGUCCCCUCCUUUUUAUAAGGUUUUGGGAAUAAAAUAUAUUGGGCAUGCAUAUCAGAUUAAUCAUAAAAAGUAAAUUGAUUGUGUAAGGUUAUGUAAUAUAUAGAGAUCUAUAUUAAAGUAAUGCGGUUACCAAAUCGAAAAUCAUGUUGAAUUUGAAGUGUGUUCUUCUUUUGGGAUUUGAAAAUCCCGCAACAUG